UACGUAGGGUGCGAGCGUUAAUCGGAAUUACUGGGCGUUAAGCGUGCGCAGGCGGUUUUGUAAGCCAGAUGUGAAAUCCCCGGGCUUAACCUGGGAAUGGCAUUUGGGACUGCAAGGCUUGAGUGCGGCAGAGGAGACUGGAAUUCCCGGUGUAGCAGUGAAAUGCGUAGAUAUCGGGAGGAAUACCGAUGGCGAAGGCAGGUCUCUGGGCUGACACUGACGCUCAUGCACGAAAGCGUGGGGAGCAAACAGG
rnacentral:rRNA from 1 species